rnacentral:rRNA from 1 species
CAAUAGCGUAUAUUUAAGUUGCUGCAGUUAAAAAGCUCGUAGUUGGAUUUCGGGUGGGAAUGGCCGGUCCGCCGUUUCGGUGUGCACUUGCUAUGCCCACCUUGCUGCCGGGGACGUGCUCUUGAGUUCACGCUCGGGACACGGAGUCGGCGAGGUUACUUUGAGUAAAUUAGAGUGUUCAAAGCAGGCCUACGCUCUGAAUACAUUAGCAUGGAAUAACACGAUAGGACUCUGGCCUAUCUUGUUGGUCUGUAGGACCGGAGUAAUGAUUAAGAGGGACAGUCGGGGGCAUUCGUAUUUCAUUGUCAGAGGUGAAAUUCUUGGAUUUAUGAAAGACGAACUACUGCGAAAGCAUUUGCCAAGGAUGUUUUCAUUAA